GUACAGUUCUCAGAUAUUAGCCUUCCUGAAGCCCAUACGAUGCUGCUGCUAUAGAUCCAGGAGCCCGGAAGUCCUCCUACACUGGGGAAGCAUCCUGUGCUGUGAGGGCAGGGCAGAGGAAGAGAGAGCCUCUAUUCUCUUGAUUUCCAGAGAGAGCCACACAUUAUUUU